AACGAACGCUGGCGGCAGGCCUAACACAUGCAAGUCGAGCGAGGACUUCGGUCCUAGCGGAGGACGGGUGAGUAACGCGUGGGAACGUGCCCCUUGGUACGGAAUAGCCCCGGGAAACUGGGAGUAAUACCGUAUGAGCUAUACGGAGGAAAGAUUUAUCGCCAAGGGAUCGGCCCGCGUUGGAUUAGGGAGUUGGUGGGGUAAUGGCCUACCAAGCCGACGAUCCAUAGCUGGAUUGAGAGGAUGAUCAGCCACACUGGGACUGAGACACGGCCCAGACUCCUACGGGAGGCAGCAGUGGGGAAGCUUGGAAAGUGGGCGCAAGCCUGAUCUAGCCAUGCCGCGUGAGCGAUGAAGGCCUUAGGGUUGUAAAGCUCUUUCAGCGAGGAAGAUAAUGACUGUACUCGCAGAAGAAGCCCCGGCUAACUCCGUGCCAGCCGCCGCCGUAACAC
rnacentral:rRNA from 1 species